UUUAAGUCAGUAAGGGUUGUUGUAGACUACGACGUAGAUAGGUCAGGUGUGUAAGUGUAGUGAUACAUUGAGCUAACAGAUACUAAUUGCCCGAGAGGCUUAACUAUACAACGCUCAAG
rnacentral:rRNA from 1 species